rnacentral:misc_RNA from 1 species
AAGUCGUAACAAGGUAACCGUAGGUGAACCUGCGGUUGGAUCAUUAUAAAAUGAUUGAUUGGUCGGCUUGAGGAUCUUUGGAUUCUCGCUGACUGACAACAACCACUGUGCACUAUAAUUGAAUUUGGGUAGGAAUGCUUGGAUUUCGGUCUAAGCCUGAACUACCCGCCCAUUAUCAACCUUUUAUUAUUUGUCUGAUCUUUUAUUCUUAAUGAAUUUAAUACAACUUUUAACAACGGAUCUCUACGCUCUC